GACGAACGCUGGCGGCGUGCCUAAUACAUGCAAGUUGAGCGCUGAAGGUUGGUACUUGUACCAACUGGAUGAGCAGCGAACGGGUGAGUAACGCGUGGGGAAUCUGCCUUUGAGCGGGGGACAACAUUUGGAAACGAAUGCUAAUACCGCAUAAAAACUUUAAACACAAGUUUUAAGUUUGAAAGAUGCAAUUGCAUCACUCAAAGAUGAUCCCGCGUUGUAUUAGCUAGUUGGUGAGGUAAAGGCUCACCAAGGCGAUGAUACAUAGCCGACCUGAGAGGGUGAUCGGCCACGGUGGGACUGAGACACGGCCCAAACUCCUACGGGAGGCAGCAGUAGGGAAUCUUCGGCAAUGGACGAAAGUCUGACCGAGCAACGCCGCGUGAGUGAAGAAGGUUUUCGGAUCGUAAAACUCUGUUGGUAGAGAAGAACGUUGGUGAGAGUGGAAAGCUCAUCAAGUGACGGUAACUACCCAGAAAGGGACGGCUAACUACGUG
rnacentral:rRNA from 1 species